CACUAAUUAACUACAAAAGAGAAAUACAUCAACUUCCCUCCCCUCGAGGAAAACUCGUCCUCAAGUUUAGUCUAAAAUUUGGAGCGGGAGAAAAUUACUCAGAAAAUCCACUAUGUUGAAGAUAGGAAUGAUGUAUAAAUAAGGUCAAUCCCAGGGAAUUAAAUCCAUAUUUUAAAGAAAAUGGAACUGGUUGUCCCGAGGAAAGUGAUAGACUCAAAUCAGAUAUAGACAAACUUCCACCAUCUCGGGUUGUUGGGGAUGGGACGUUAGUUGGAGACUUAAACCAUUGAAGAAGGCCGAGGAGCAAGCAGCUCGAAAUGGACGGAGAGUUGAAGAGGCUUGCUCAUUAUUACUAUAUUAUGUUUGUUCAUGCAAUUUUUUACCCUUUAAUUUCUUUGGUUUUUUAUAAAUUGGAACUGUAUAGGUUGUUGAAGAACGUUGUGGUUCUCUUGGCCAACUUGCUGUCUCUCUGUAGCAGCCAGUAAGGUGGCACCGUCACGUUCUCAUUUACAUGCUAUAGAAAAUAGAAAGAGAGGGCUAACCAGUCAUCAACCAUCAGACAGUCAAAAUGAAGGUUAUUCUGGAAAGACCUCUGCGAGGGAACACUUGAAGGACAUCUCUUCCAGAAAUCCUGAAAUGAGGGAGCCUAAAGUUUGAGAUUCUUUAUCAUGGGAAAAACAACAAAGUCAAAAUGUUUCUUCAAGGGAUGUUGGUUUCAUUUCUGUAGCAGUGUCCAGCUUAAAUAAGUUCUCAGAUGAUGGAAGUUUUGCAUCUGAGUUUCUCAGACAACAACGUGAAAAUACUUUGUGAUUCAGUUAAGAGAGGUGAAAUCAGAAUUGGUUGUCUCAAAUCCGAGAAGCGCAUUGAAGAUUGUGUUUCGGCCAGGAUGCAAUGAGAGCAAACAAGUUGGCUGCAAAGGCAUUUCAACUUCAAUGUAAAAGGAAAACAUGAAAAGCUCAAAAGCUUUUGGUAGGACAAGUUUUAGUCUCUACAAACUCCAUUUUCUCAUUUUAUUUUUGGUAUUGUUGCUGCAUGCCACACUUAUGUUUUCUAGUAAUGGUGGUUUUCUAGGAUUGAUUAACGUUGUCUAGGAAUGGUGGUUUUCACAUCCUCAUUACCAGCUAUCAGCUACUCGUUUCUGAUGAAAAGUGUUUUCGACAUGUGAAGUGGCAAUAUAUGGUAUUGGAUGAGGCACAAGCAAUCAAAGUUCUACGAGGUUUGUUCUUUUUUACUUUGCAUAAGGCUUUAGCUGAUAUACGUACUUUGUUGGUCCUUGACUAGAGCUAUACGUACUUUGUUGAUAUACGAACUUUCCUAUUUUGGUGGGUUUUCUUUUUUAAUGCACUUGUAUUCUUUCUCUUUUC